rnacentral:rRNA from 1 species
AAUCAACGCUGGCGGCGUGCCUAACACAUGCCAGUCGAACGCUAAAGCCCCGCAAGGUGUAUGUAGAGUGGCAAACGGGUGAGUAACACGUGGUGGACCUGCCUUCGAGUGGGGGAUAACGACCAGAAAUGGACGCGAAUACCGCAUGACAUCCUGCUUUUGAAAAAGCGGAGAUCAAAGCUGGGGAUCGCAAGACCUAGCGCUUCAAGAGUGGCCCGCGCCUGAUUAGCCAGUUGGGGAGGUAAUGGCUCACCAAGGCGACGAGCAGUAUCCGGCCUGAGAAGGAGGACGGACACCCUGGGACUGAGACCCGGCCCAGACCCCCACGGGAAGCCGCCAUGGGGAAUUAUUCGCAAUGGGCGCAAGCCCGGAUACGCCCCGCCGGGUGGAGGACGAAGAUCUUCGGGUCGUAAAAUCCCGUCCAGCGGGACGAAAGCUUCGCGGAUGAAUACCCCGCGGCAUUGACGGUACCGCUAAAGGAAGCACCGGCUAACUCCGUG